CGAGGGUCUGGCGAGGAAACCGUUACCAUUACUGAGUUUAGUAAUGGUAACGGUUCUCUGGCUGGGCCCACC
rnacentral:pre_miRNA from 13 species